rnacentral:rRNA from 1 species
UACAGAGGGUGCAAGCGUUAAUCGGAUUUACUGGGCGUAAAGCGUGCGUAGGCGGUUCAUUAAGUCGGUUGUGAAAUCCCUGGGCUUAACCUGGGAACUGCAGUCGAUACUGGUGAACUAGAAUGCGGUAGAGGGUGGCGGAACUCCGGGUGUAGCGGUGAAAUGCGUAGAUAUCUGGAAGAACACCGAUGGCGAAGGCAACCACCUGGGCCUGCAUUGACGCUGAGGUACGAAAGCGUGGGGAGCAAACAGG